rnacentral:rRNA from 1 species
UACGAAGGGGGCUAGCGUUGUUCGGAAUCACUGGGCGUAAAGGGCGCGUAGGCGGCCGAUUAAGUCGGGGGUGAAAGCCUGUGGCUCAACCACAGAAUUGCCUUCGAUACUGAUUGGCUUGAGACCGGAAGAGGUAAGUGGAACUGCGAGUGUAGAGGUGAAAUUCGUAGAUAUUCGCAAGAACACCAGUGGCGAAGGCGGCUUACUGGUCCGGUUCUGACGCUGAGGCGCGAAAGCGUGGGGAGCAAACAGG